rnacentral:rRNA from 1 species
AGAUGGCGACCGGCGCACGGGUGAGUAACACGUAUCCAACCUGCCGAUAACUCGGGGAUAGCCUUUCGAAAGAAAGAUUAAUACCCGAUGGCAUAAUUAGACCGCAUGGUCUUAUUAUUAAAGAAUUUCGGUUAUCGAUGGGGAUGCGUUCCAUUAGGCAGUUGGUGAGGUAACGGCUCACCAAACCUUCGAUGGAUAGGGGUUCUGAGAGGAAGGUCCCCCCACAUUGGAACUGAGACACGGUCCAA